UCGGGAAUAGUUUAACUGGUAAAACUUUGGACUCUGACUCCAACGUUCUUCGUUCGAACCGAAGUUCCCGAGCCA
rnacentral:tRNA from 1 species